ensembl:lncRNA
GAGCUUUUAACCCCAAAUGAACCUAAUAACUUAUAACACAAAGAGUGAUGCUUAAUGGCCAUAAAAAUGGACAAAUCUUGAAAUUAUGGUUUAAAAUUCACUGCCACUGGCUGCCUUUUAGCAACAAUGAUCUCCUAAUGGAAAUGACACUCAAGAGCUGCACACAUUCAUCAGCUCAUCUUAUCUAGAAAUCAUUUGGUGAAUGCACAGGAAAUGGUUAAAUCUUUGAAAACAGAACUUCAGCACGUUUGCACUAAACAAACAAAUGCUAGCGACAGACAUGAAAAGCCUUAAGAAUGUCUGAACAUGCAAGAUACUGCUCAGCCUUCUGCUUUAUCUUCACCAUUGUGUCUGUGCAAUCAGUCAAGUGUCCCCAACUAAUCAAGCCAAAGGUGACGGAGGCAAGGAACCAAAACUUCAGUCAAGGGGUCAGUCAAGUGUUCCGGGUUCCAGCUGACCUAAUUAAUGCAGCCUAACAAUAAUUUAACAUAUUUGAAUUAUAGAAAUGUGAUAGUAUGUUAUGUGUAUGCCAGGUUAAAGAGAUGGGUGUUUAAUCUAGAUUUAAACUAGAUUUAAUCAAGUGUGUGACUUUAAUGUGUAAGUAUCAGUUACAGAUGAAUGUGUGGACAGACAAAUCUGAUAAG